rnacentral:rRNA from 1 species
GAUGUGAAAUCCCCGGGCUCAACCUGGGAACUGCAUUCGAAACUGGCAGGCUAGAGUCUUGUAGAGGGGGGUAGAAUUCCAGGUGUAGCGGUGAAAUGCGUAGAGAUCUGGAGGAAUACCGGUGGCGAAGGCGGCCCCCUGGACAAAGACUGACGCUCAGGUGCGAAAGCGUGGGGAGCAAACAGGAUUAGAUACCCUGGUAGUCCACGCCGUAAACGAUGUCGACUUGGAGGUUGUUCCCUUGAGGAGUGGCUUCCGGAGCUAACGCGUUAAGUCGACCGCCUGGGGAGUACGGCCGCAAGGUUAAAACUCAAAUGAAUUGACGGGGGCCCGCACAAGCGGUGGAGCAUGUGGUUUAAUUCGAUGCAACGCGAAGAACCUUACCUACUCUUGACAUCCAGAGAACUUAGCAGAGAUGCUUUGGUGCCUUCGGGAACUCUGAGACAGGUGCUGCAUGGCUGUCGUCAGCUCGUGUUGUGAAAUGUUGGGUUAAGUCCCGCAACGAGCGCAACCCUUAUCC